rnacentral:snRNA from 1 species
CAAGUGAUAUUGGAAGUGAUACUGAAAAUUGGAAUGACACAGAGAAAAUUACCGUGGGCCCUGUGCAAGGAUAACACACAAACUUGAGAAGUAUUUAAUACUUUG